GACUAUGUUUUCUAGGGUUCCGCAGUAUCUUGCUGGCCUGGACCGAGAGAAAACACGCAGCCGAGCUGUGCCACGGAGGGAUAAAAGCCCGGGAGAU
rnacentral:sRNA from 2 species